AUCUGCUCAGAGAAGUUUGUUGAAGGAGAUUCAUAGAAUUGCACCAAGCUCACAUGUUACCACUAAGCAGGACUCCUCCAAGCCUUGAAAACAACAGUGUGUAUGCACGUGCGUGCGCGCAUGCGUGUACACACAAUUAACUUUGCACUAAUUGGUGAGCCAUUUCUGAAGGGAAGCCAAGAGGAGCUUUUCAUACAGAGGGCAGGCAGGCAGUUGUGGGUAUACCCAAGGUUACUGUGACUAGAGAAGGUUGUGUAUAUGAAAGAAAAGCAUCACCCCAGCCAAUGUCUUUGUCAUGGUAGAGACCUCACCAAUGCCAGCUACUAUUUCAUUAGUCCUGGUGAGUAUGCCAACAGGAACGAAGAAACUUCAAAAGCCGUAAUUUCAAGACAUUUAGUGCUCACUAAUAUAGAUAUUCUGGAACCACUCAAGCAAUUCCUCUCUUGGCUACUGGAAGCUGUAAACCCAUCUGUCAUCCAGAGAGGAAGACUCAUCUGAAGUCCAGGCACACAGCUUACAAGCCAGGUCCUACCCCCUAGGAGUUCCAGAGCCUUGGAAUACAGUGUCUCCAGCUGGGAACAAGCGUUUAAAGCAUGAACCUCUGGGUGACAUUUCAGAUUCAAAACAAUAACACUAUCAAAGUAAUUGGGAACUCAUAAGGGAAGUUGGGGAGAAAGGAAACAUUUUCUAGUAGCAGUAAGACAAUCUAUCUCAAUGUUCACAUAUCUUUGGUAAAAACAAACCACUUACAUAGAACCAAUGUGAACUUCAUUAAUUGAAGAAAAAGAAAAGUCUGAGUUAACUAUGGCCGAACCCUACGAUGGAACACUAUCAGUUCUCAAAAAGAAGGAGCUAACCGCUUGCUGACCUAAAAAGAUUGCUGUGGGUUUUUGUUAUUCUUGUUUUCUUUUUGCACCAGAAACCAUCCCUGUGUGCGCCAGUCAAGUACACUACACUAAGCUAUGUCCCUGAUUCUUCCAUGGAAUACAAGAGGAUGUUGAAUACAUGAGAAAAAAUGUUAUCUUAUGUGUUUUAUGUAUGAAUCUACUUGUACAAAACAAUUGUAUUAUAGCAUCCAUUUAUUAAUGUAAGUACCGAGAAAUUCAGGGAAAGAUACACACACAGCUUAUUAAAACAUGUCAUCACAAUCAAAUGGGAAAGACUGUGGCAGAAGCCAGUUUUUAAAUUUCCUCUCUAUAUACUUACCUUGACUUAAUUGUUCCAAUAAAUGUAUUGUUUUUGAAUAAACACACACUACAGAGAACAGAAUUUAGCAAAUUUUCAUUAGAAUGGGGCACACAGUUCAGGCAGGCGACACUGUCAGGGUCUGCAGUGACUAGUGAGUUAACCUUCUUCUCUUGCUCUGUAUCCCCUAGUGGGCUCAGCUCUUGUUCACAAAUCCAGUUAUUAAGAAUAGAU